GACAAUGCCGGAUGCAUAGACACCGUAGUCUAAAGUCUACACUUGCAUACUGUUCUGUGACAAAAGUUUUGUAAAUAUUGAUCGAGUUCUUUAAAAUCUUAUAUAAAAGAUUUUACAGUAAUUGCAUUCGUAACUUCAUUUAAAAGAAAAUGCUAAAAUUUCAAUGGAAUUAUUAACAAUGCCUAAGUCUAUACAAUGAUCUAGCCUCCAGUUACUUUAAGUGUCCUCAAUCAUUAUCAGUAGAUAUAUGUGGUGUAAUCAGUUCCAUCAGAUCUGUUCAUUUACAUUGGAUCUUGUUCGUAGCACAGCCUGCGUACAUGUACAACACAUAAAUAUCUGAUAAUAUAACCAUGGACCAAAUAGAACCACAUCUUGAUGUAACAAUAGAUGAAAACAAAAUUGUUGACGGUGCCAUAGAAAUUAUUAAAAAAAUAAGACCAACAUGGCA